AGGAGGAGCAGAGUUCCAGGACUGGCAUUUGAACAUGCAGCUGACGGGAAAAGUGGUGCUGGCCGCAGCUGCUCUGCUCCUGGUCACUGCAGCCU
rnacentral:miRNA from 1 species